rnacentral:rRNA from 1 species
AGAAUCAACGCUGGCGGCGUGCCUAACACAUGCAAGUCGAACGAGAAAGGGGAGCAAUCCCUGAGUACAGUGGCGACCGGGUGAGUAACACGUGACUACCUACCCUUGAGUGGGGGAUAACUCCGGGAAACCGGGGCUAAUACCGCAUAAUAUCGAGAGAUCAAAAGGAGCAAUUCGCUCUUGGAGGGAGUCGCGGCUGAUUAGCUAGUUGGUAGGGUAAUGGCCUACCAAGGCGAAGAUCGGUA